rnacentral:tRNA from 1 species
UCCCUGGUAGCUUAGUGGUUGGGAUGCUGGGCUGUCACACCAUGGCCCAGGAUCAGUUCCUGGUCAGGGAA